GACGAACGCUGGCGGCGUGCUUAACACAUGCAAGUCGAACGGAAAGGCCCUGCUUGCAGGGUACUCGAGUGGCGAACGGGUGAGUAACACGUGGGUGAUCUGCCCUGCACUUCGGGAUAAGCCUGGGAAACUGGGUCUAAUACCGGAUAGGAGCCAUUUUUAGUGUGAUGGUUGGAAAGUUUUUUCGGUGUAGGAUGAGCUCGCGGCCUAUCAGCUUGUUGGUGGGGUAAUGGCCUACCAAGGCGGCGACGGGUAGCCGGCCUGAGAGGGUGGACGGCCACAUUGGGACUGAGACACGGCCCAGACUCCUACGGGAGGCAGCAGUGGGGAAUAUUGCACAAUGGGCGCAAGCCUGAUGCAGCGACGCCGCGUGGGGGAUGACGGCCUUCGGGUUGGAAACUCCUUUCGCUAGGGACGAAGCUUUUUGUGACGGUACCUAGAUAAGAAGCACCGGCUAACUACGUG
rnacentral:rRNA from 1 species